rnacentral:rRNA from 1 species
UACGGAGGGGGCUAGCGUUGUUCGGAAUUACUGGGCGUAAAGCGCACGUAGGCGGCUUUGUAAGUUAGAGGUGAAAGCCCGGGGCUCAACCCCGGAAUUGCCUUUAAGACUGCAUCGCUUGAAUUGUGGAGAGGUGAGUGGAAUUCCGAGUGUAGAGGUGAAAUUCGUAGAUAUUCGGAAGAACACCAGUGGCGAAGGCGACUCACUGGACACAUAUUGACGCUGAGGUGCGAAAGCGUGGGGAGCAAACAGG